rnacentral:rRNA from 1 species
AGUAAAUAGAUACCCAGGUAGUCCACGCCGUAAACGAUGUCGACUUGGAGGUUGUGCCCUUGAGGCGUGGCUUCCGGAGCUAAACGCGUUAAGUCGACCGCCUGGGGAGUACGGCCGCAAGGUUAAAACUCAAAUGAAUUGACGGGGGCCCGCACAAGCGGUGGAGCAUGUGGUUUAAUUCGAUGCAACGCGAAGAACCUUACCUACUCUUGACAUCCAGAGAACUUAGCAGAGAUGCUUUGGUGCCUUCGGGAACUCUGAGACAGGUGCUGCAUGGCUGUCGUCAGCUCGUGUUGUGAAAUGUUGGGUUAAGUCCCGCAACGAGCGCAACCCUUAUCCUUGUUGCCAGCGGUUAGGCCGGGAACUCAAAGGAGACUGCCAGUGAUAAACUGGAGGAAGGUGGGGAUGACGUCAAGUCAUCAUGGCCCUUACGAGUAGGGCUACACACGUGCUACAAUGGCGCAUACAAAGAGAAGCGACCUCGCGAGAGCAAGCGGACCUCAUAAAGUGCGUCGUAGUCCGGAUUGGAGU